rnacentral:rRNA from 1 species
UGGGGUAUAUUGGACAAUGGGCGAAAGCCUGAUCCAGCCACGCCGCGUGUGUGAAGAAGGCCUUAUGGUUGUAAAGCACUCUAAGCGAGGAGGAGGGUACUGGUAUUAAUACUACCAGGUACUGGACGUUACUCGCAGAAUAAGCACCGGCUAACUCCGUGCAAGCCGCCGCGGUAAUACAGAGGGUGCGUGCGUUAAUCGGAUUUACUGGGCGUAAAGCGUGCGUAGGCGGCUAAUUGAGUCGGAUGUGAAAUCCCCGAGCUUAACUUGGGAAUUGCAUUCGAUACUGGUUAGCUAGAGUGUGGGAGAGGAUGGUAGAAGUCCAGGUCUAGCGGUGAUAGGCGUAGAGAUCUGGUGGAAGACCGAUGACGGAGGCAGCCAUCUGGCCUAACAAUGACGAUGAGGUACGAAAGAAUGGGGAGCAAACAGG